rnacentral:rRNA from 1 species
GACGAACGCUGGCGGCGUGCUUAACACAUGCAAGUCGAACGGAAAGGCCCUGCUUUUUUGGGGUUCUCGAGUGCCGAACGGGUGAGUAACACGUGAGUAACCUGCCCUUGACUUUGGGAUAACUUCAGGAAACUGGGGCUAAUACCGGAUCGGAGCUCCUGCUGCAUGGUGGGGGUUGGAAAGUUUCGGCGGUUGGGGAUGGACUCGCGGCUUAUCAGCUUGUUGGUGGGGUAGUGGCUUACCAAGGCUUUGACGGGUAGCCGGCCUGAGAGGGUGACCGGCCACAUUGGGACUGAGAUACGGCCCAGACUCCUACGGGAGGCAGCAGUGGGGAAUAUUGCACAAUGGGCGGAAGCCUGAUGCAGCAACGCCGCGUGCGGGAUGACGGCCUUCGGGUUGUAAACCGCUUUCGCCUGUGACGAAGCGUGAGUGACGGUAAUGGGUAAAGAAGCACCGGCUAACUACGUG